AUUGCCUUCAAGGACACAUCACACUAUGUAGGCACUUCAAUAGCUUCAAUAUUUGCCUUCAAAGACACCAAUUGAACUACUUCAUUGCCUCUACAAGUGCACACAAGGGACAUGCGCCCAGCCAGUGAGAACAUGCGAAGGGGCACGUAGAGGCCUUGCGAAGAUAUGAACUCAGAGGACAGGGAGACGUGAGAAGUCCCAGAAGUGCGUGAAAAGACUCAAAACUUUUGUUCACCGGAAUGCCUCGUAGCAUCCAAUUCUUCUUUUGGAAACAGACAAAGAGUGGCAGUGCACAGUUGCUUCCUUGCAAUAGAAUACUCGGCCCAUCCUAACCUCCUUCGGACUUCUGCAUUCAUCUGCCAUCCAGUAGUAGCUGUGUGUCAGUAAACAGAGUUGUAGCGUGUGCUUCAGUAUGAAUUCUCAUGAACUACCGUCCAGUACUGCAGAUACAGGGAGCACCACUGAAUGUUUUCAGCAUCGGCUGCCGAUCGCAGUGGCCGCGCGGUCUGAGGCAUGAGUUCUUCGCUCUAUCAAAUGCUGAGAUCGUGAGUUCGAAUCCCACUCAAAGCAUGGAUGUCUGUGUAUGUUUUUAUUCUGUGUUUGUGUUACCCUAU